CUCCUCUCUCUCUCUGUCUCUCUCUCCUGUGAUCUAGUGCCUCAGACAACAUUGUGGAAUGCACAAGGAGAAUAUAAUCCACAUCCCAUUCAGGUAGUGAUCAGAUUGUCAUGCCAGACUAGUGGGAGUCAGUAUGCGACCCAAAUUGCACCCUAUUCCCUACAUAGUGCACUACGUUUGACCAGACCCCAAUGGGCCCAGUAACACAAACACUGUCAGCUCAUCUGGCCCUGUAACGCAAUCACUGUCAGCUCAUCUGGUCCCUGUAACGCAGUCACUGUCAGCUCAUCUGGGCCCUGUAACGCAAUCACUGUCAGCUCAUCUGGGCCCUGUAACGCAAUCACUGUCAGCUCAUCUGGGCCCUGUAACGCAAACACUGUCAGCUCAUCUGGGCCCUGUAACGCAAUCACUGUCAGCUCAUCUGGGCCCUGUAACGCAAACACUGUCAGCUCAUCUGGGCCCUGUAACGCAAUCACUGUCAGCUCAUCUGGGCCCUGUAACGCAGUCACUGUCAGCUCAUCUGGGCCCUGUAACGCAAACACUGUCAGCUCAUCUGGGCCCUGUAACGCAGUCACUGUCAGCUCAUCUGGGCCCUGUACCGCAGUCACUGUCAGCUCAUCUGGGCCCUGUAACGCAAACACUGUCAGCUCAUCUGGGCCCUGUAACGCAAUCACUGUCAGCUCAUCUGGGCCCUGUAACGCAAUCACUGUCAGCUCAUCUGGGCCCAGGUAGAGAUGAGUAAAUACAACUUGUGGAGUGAGGGACUGAAAUAAUGUGUUGCUCUGUAGUCAAUGUAAUUAGAUGUUUAUCUGGAGUUAAUUUAAUUAGAUGUUUAUCUCAAGUGAAUUUAUACCUGAAUCAUCUACAGGGAGAGAGGGAGGAGGGGACAGGUGGAGAGAGAGAUGGAUGGAUGAGCAGGGAGAGAGGGAUAGAGAUAGGGAUGGUUGGAGGUGGAGAGAGGGAAGUAGAGAGACUGAUGGAGGGAGGGGUGUAUGAGCAGGGAGAGCCGGGUAGAGAUAGGGAUGGAUGGAGGUGGAGAGAGGGGGGUAGAGAGACUGAUGGAGGGAGGGGUGUAUAGAUGUAUGAGCAGGGAGAGCCGGGUAGAGAUAGGGAUGGAUGGAGGUGGAGAGAGGGGGGUAGAGAGACUGACGGAGGGAGG
rnacentral:lncRNA from 1 species